CCGUGAGCCCAGUGAAGAGUUGUUAAGCUGUGACGUACAAGUCAAUUCAAUAAGCCCGUAUGCACAAAGCUAAGCGGACAGCUCAGUCCGAUUUACAUUUUUAAUUACAGCCUCCGCCCACUUUGACCAUAAGCGAGCGCAGCCGUUCGACAGGUGCACGUUGAUUUGUCGUUGAGUUCGUGACGGAGAGUGGAGCUGCGAGCGGGGUAGAUUUGAUCCUGACUGGCUGGGAACCCCUUUCUCCUUCCCCCGUGUACUCUCGUCAGGACGCACCGUACGUGUGCGCUGAAACCCGCCUACGCUUCGAGAAGUGGAUAAAAAAAAGUAUCACAAACACCGGUGUCAUUUAAGCGACCAUCCGACGAGCUUUUACCUUUUCUGGAUCUUUCUGCCUGGAGCGUUGUAUUCAGCUAAACCCCCCGUAUAGAGAGGACUGGUAGUGGACUUAACUGACCGUACAUUCUGAACAAACUCACGAACUGGACUGAGGGAACGGAACAUGUUAGCGGGGGUAAGCCGAGCACAUAAAUAAGUCCCGUUAUUCGCAAACUCACACCAGAAGGAACAUCGUCACCAGAUCAAAGCAAGCACGCGUACGUCAAAGCAGAAAUCGACAGUCGAGCGAUCCAAAAGACAAACUUGUUAAACCUAUCCGUCGCGCAGUACCUAAUAACAGGCUGUAACCAAAGCGUUCCUCGUCAGUGACCGUCCGAAUUUGCUGGUGAAAGUGAAGCGCGUUUUCGUAUUGUACUCAACUCAGGCAUUCCUGUGAAGGGUUCCCAUCCGUGACAGCGUUCCCAAGGAUCGUUCCUAGCGCGUUCCAGUUUGCAGAGGAAUUGUACAGCAUAUCACGUAAAGGUGCAGGAGAUAUAUAAACUGAGAAGAUGGGACACAUUGGAGCUACCCUGAGAUUAUUAGCCUGUAUGUUAACACUGGCAGUCUUAUUUCAAUCAGUUCACACCAGAACAGUCAGAAGAGCCUAUUACAAACAGAGAUGUCCAGACUACCAACUAGAAAUCGACGGUGAAUGUUAUGACGUUAAUGUAGAAAAACUGGAAGCCGUACGCCGGACAUUGUGCGCCUUCUUUAACGACCUGGGCGAGGAAGCUUCAAGGUUAUGCGGCAGUUCAGCUCCAGGAAUUUCCAAGCGGUUUUUCGGUCACACAGGCUUCGGAAAAUAACCCCGCUCACAGUUGCCUGCUCUUCUUUAACUUAUCAUAAAAAUGAAAUCUAUCUGAUCAUAUUUUGUGUAUACAUGUAAAUUAGUUUGCAAACAAAUGCACGAAUCUAGUUUUUUUCUCAACUCUUCAUUCAAAUGUUACAAUAUUCACUGAACUAUCCAUGAGCAUGCGAUGCUCACUGCCUCUGGUGCGAUAUGUCAGACGCCAUUGCCGCUCAUUAGAUAGGGAGGAGGAAUCAUGAAAUUUGCUGUUUUACACUUUUUCAAGUUAUCCAGAGAACAUUAUCAGAAAAGCUCAGAUGUCCUUUGAUUUAAUAUGAAUUGGAGCAUUUUGACAUUUUUUUAUAAUCGAAUUAUUUAUUUUUAUGAUUUCAUACCGGCACAUUUUGUGUGAUAUGCGUAGCAUUAAAAUCGAAUGACAUUAACAAAAUUUACUGAAAGGUUAGCAAAUAGUUAAUUCUUUGCUUGGAAAAUGGAUAUUAAAAAUGGAUUUCUACCAGCUCAUUUCGAGACAGUUGGACUAUAGAUGGAACUGAUUUGGUUCACAGAUUCAAGUUAAUUUCUUUAGGUUAAUGUAGGCGAUUUUUGAACCGAAUCCACCCACAGUAAGACAUUUACACCAAAUACUCAGUCAUUUAACCCAUCUCUAUUGGAUAUAACGAAUCUGGUAUAUUACAGUGGUAGUCCAUAAUAUAACAAUAACGUCAUUGACAUUCCAUGCCUCGGUUCAUCGGGCGAGCUAUUACAGUUGAAAAUCACGUAUUCCAUCCAACAUUUACAAAUCUAGACGUUAUUUGUUAAAUAAAACAUGGCAUUUUUUCAUAACGCAUUACGAAUUGAUCCAGUGAUAUUACUCAUUUUCCAGGGAGUCCUGAUUAAUUUUUUGUAACUUUUAAGAAUGGAAACACAACAUUUUCAUUUUUUACAGAAUUCAGUGUUAGUCAAAAUCCAGAUGUUUACUUUACUCCGUUUGUCAUAAUUACUUCUUGAACAUUUUCUCUUUACCAGUAACGGCAACGUUGCAGCUGCUAAUCGACUUGCUUUCGUUUGGUUUUGAUUCUUAAUGGUUCUUAAUUAUCCCUCUAACUCCAUCGCAUAUGCAUGCCGAUACAUUGAUUACCCUGCGUACAACAUUGCAACAUUAUAUAUUAAAAUGAGCGUUUCCAGAUGGCUUAAAAUUGUAUACCGGUCUCAUUAUUCACGCAUGCGCUGUCCUUUUUGGUUUCCAUGGUAACUCCUCGUGGUGAUUGUAUAUAUCUUUCUUGGUGUAUGGAAUUCCCUGAGUAUCAUUUUGUGAUACGCCAUGGCUGUGGUUUGUAUUGUUAAGCCUUUUUGUUCUAAGCUUAAUUGUUUGUCACAGUGACAUACCACUGUCAUAAAAUGUCUCAGCAGUUGUUCACGAUCUGUAUUUUACACUGGCUUUAUUUGUGUAUGUUGUGGAACUUUGGUGGAACGUACGCGUAAACGUUUCUGUCUUAACGUGGUCUAAUGCCACUAACUACCGUCUGUAUUAUUAUAUGUCUAUUUCACAUUGCCAACGUCUUACAUGACGUCAAUGCUAAAGAAAUUACGAAAAAAAGUGUAUUCUGCAAUAUACCUUCUCUUGCUUCCGAGGAGUUCUAUACCUCUGGUAAUGAUAGCUGUACACUAUGAGAGUUCAUGUAUGUAUUUUAUUUCAGUUCCACAGAAGAGAUUUUUCAACCAUGCUGGGCUGGGGAAAUGAUGAACACUCAUAGUCAUGACGUCACCAUAACAUGUGUACACGACAUGUUCCACCAAGAUGGUGAUCUGUUAAAAUGAAAACGUAAAACACAGAUGUCAUGUCAUUUUGUUCUUUUUUGUUGACCGGCCUAUGUAUAAAACCUUGACAACUAAAUAAAGCUAUGUGAGUACAUGGGACCAGAUCGAUUUCGUUCUCUCUCCACGUUUAAAUGCUCUGAUUUCAUUCAUAUCUCUUCUUUUUUCUUUUCCUUUUUUAAAAAUGGUGUCAAUUUGUAGAUUUAACUGGCCUUUCGAAUGUCAGAAAUAUAUGAUCAGACAAUUAAUAAUAAAAUUUCAUAAAUUUUGUUUAUUUUA